AACGAACGCUGGCGGCAUGCCUAACACAUGCAAGUCGAACGACACCUUCGUGACUACUUGCUCACGCGUGCGUCACGCGUGGGACCCUGCCCUUAUACUCCGAAUACCUCCCCGUAGGGGGUGCUAAUGUCGGGUAAUUUCUUCUAACCAAAGAUCUAUCGCCUUUGGUUGGGCCCGCGUUGGUUUAGCUAGUUGGUAGUGUAAAAGCCUAUCACGGCUACGUUCCAUAGCUGGUCUGAGAGGAUGAUCAGCCACACUGGGGCUGGGACACGGCCCAGACUCUUGCGCGAGGCGGGAGUGGGGGAUACUGGAAAAUCGGGGAAAGGAUGAAGGAGCAAGGCUGGGUGAGUGAUGAAGUCGGUAGGGAAGUAAAGCUCUUUUAUCCGGGAUGAUAAUGACGGUACCGGGAGAAUAAGCACCGGCUAACUCCGUG
rnacentral:rRNA from 1 species